rnacentral:rRNA from 1 species
UACGUAGGGGGCAAGCGUUGUCCGGAUUUAUUGGGCGUAAAGAGCGUGUAGGCGGCUUUACAGGUCCGUUGUGAAAACUCGAGGCUCAACCUCGAGACGCCGGUGGAAACCGUAAAGCUUGAGUCCGGAAGAGGAGAGUGGAAUUCCUGGUGUAGCGGUGAAAUGCGCAGAUAUCAGGAAGAACACCCGUGGCGAAGGCGGCUCUCUGGGACGGUACUGACGCUGAGACGCGAAAGCGUGGGGAGCGAACAGG